rnacentral:rRNA from 1 species
CCAAUAGCGUAUAUUAAAGUUGUUGCAGUUAAAAAGCUCGUAGUUGAAUUUCGGAAUUUGUCGGUUGGUCGGGCUUCACUGUCCGUACUGGCCUGAUGGAUUCCUACCUUCUGAACAGCCAGCAUGCUAUUAAGUUAGUGCGUUGGGGAAGCAGAGCUAUUACCUUGAAAAAAUUAGAGUGCUUAAAGCAGGCUUAUGCUUGAAUAGAUUAGCAUGGAAUAAUAAAAUAGGACGGCUUGGUUCUAUUUUGUUGGUUUCUAGGAUAACCGUAAGGAUUAAUAGGGAUAGUUGGGGGCAUUAGUAUUAAAUUGUCAGAGGUGAAAUUCUUGGAUUUAUUGAAGACUAACUUCUGCGAAAGCAUUUGCCAAGGAUGUUUUCAUCAAUCAAGAACGAAAGUUAGGGGAUCGAAGACGAUCAGCUACCGUCGUAGUCUUAACCAUAAACUAUGCCGACUAGGGAUCGGACGAUGUUAAUUUUUUAAUGACUCGUUCGGCGCCUUACG